rnacentral:rRNA from 1 species
CUGUGGGGAGAGAAGAAUCGCCUUGUGGCUAACAUCCACGAGGUCUGACGGUAUCUCCUUAGCAAGCACCGGCUAACUCUGUGC